CACGGGCUGCAUUUAUUUUCCUCAUCCUCCCAUCCCAUGUGCUUCUCCUCGGGAUGAGAAAUCUCGGCAAUAUCCGUGUCAGCUCCAGCUGGAUGCCAAAGCCACCAGCCCAGGGUGGUUCCCAUGCCAGCCCCAACGGGGCUGUAGGAGAAGCAGAGAUGUCUGAUCCAGCUUCUAAAUGCUGAAAAUUUCCUUGGGAUUUAUCCAGCUCAGCUCAUGCCCUAGGCCGGUGUGGAGGGAGCUGCCGCUGUGCCCUGGGGCGCUGAAUUGUCACCUGUCCCCAUCCCGACAGAGAGGAGAGAGGGGCAGAUCCCUGGCUGCAGAUCCCAGCUCCCCAGGAUCACACGGAUC
rnacentral:lncRNA from 1 species